GUUGAUGUCGCUCAUAAUUCCAGGAUUAUAUGGGAUUAUAUGGAGUUCUAUGUAAUUUAUUGUUUCAGUGGGAAUUGAGAUCGAUGCCCAGGAGGACAGUGGGAGUGAGGAGGAGGCCAGGAGAAGAGCCAGAAACAGGAGAGCCAAACCUUCUCCACGUAGAGCCAAACGCCCAGUGAGCGAUGACGAAGACGAGGAGGAGGAGGAGGAAGAGCCCCCGAGGAGGAAAGGACGGCGGGGGAAGGCCAAGGUGCAGGACAGUGAUGAGGAGGAGGAAGAGGAGGAGAAAAAGGGCAGGAAAAAGAAACCUGUCAAAGCUUCCAACAGGAAGAAAAAGGCAGUGAAGGAGGAGAGUGAGGAAGAGGAGGAGGAGAGCGCAGAGGAACGAGGGAAGAAUAAAAAACGAGGCAAAGCGCCGAGCAAAAAGGAGAAGGAGGAGCAGAACAAGGUGAAGAAAAGCGGCAAGGACAAAGGAAGCGAGAAAAACAAGAGAAAGAACAGUGGAAAGUUCAGCAGGUGCAGUAUUCUGUGAGAGCUCGCUCUCUGUAUCUUACCUCCACGUGCACGCUUCAUAACCACUUUCACAUGCGCAGUUCAGCCAAUCUGUUGUGUGCCACACAUUGGGACCCCCCUGUAGACUGAGGCUGCUGUCCAUAGUUGCCGCCAGACACCUAGGAUUCUACUUUUUUAGGAUUCUAGAUAUUUUAUUAUGGGCAACACUUUUAUAACACCGUCUUAAAAACAAUAUGAACACAGUGGCACACAGUUGAUCAAUAAGACAACAAUAUCCUCAUUCUCAUCGCCAUCAUCAUCUUCAUCCUUAUCAGGGAUGGGAUGGUUGAGAUCUAAAUACCAAAGAGUUGUGUUUGUAAUUCACUUACAGUAAACAGCCAAAGUUGUCUUGUUUGGAAGGAGAGGCAUGUGAGAGGUUGUCCAUUUAGAGUCAAGCCCCAGGUGAACCAUGAAAGCUCUGUCCUUUUGACAGCUCGUCGGGGUCGGGUUCUGACUCUGACUCUCUGUCGGAGGGCGAGAUGGAGCUCCUGAAGGAGGAGGUAGAGGAGAAGAAGAAGCUCAUCACGACUUUGAGGAACAAACCCUGGCGCAUGAAGAGGAGACUCCAACAACUCAAGUAACCAAAACAAUACCACAAAAACCAAGCGGUUAACAUUCAACAGCUCUUCUGCUUGUUGUUCCAUUUUUCUAACUUUGAAUUUCCUUUUUUGAUCCGCUUGCUUGUUGUAGUGCAUUAGCUCUUCAGUCUACUAGUUGCUUUCUUAACGGCUGAAAUAUAUUCUUG
rnacentral:lncRNA from 1 species